GUUUCUUUUACACAGUAACAGAUACGAUCAGAUACUAAUACAUUAUCUCAAAACCAGGGAUGCCUGGGGCCAAGGGAACACUUCGGAGCAAGCAACCCUGCGUUUGCACUCAAGGUACCACCCUGAACCACAUAACUACAAGACAAACAACGAAACUGCUUUCUGGCAUGGGCCACCUUAACCUUCCUGUGGACUCCUCUCCCAAGAGAAAACAGACCAAACCUUAAUCACAUAGCGCUGUUAGUGGGUAAAGGUCGGGGCGGCCACAACAACAGGGGCUGGGAAACUGCCCCGCGGGCAGGGGACACACCUUCGCUGUCCACUGCAGGCCAGCAGUGGGAUCGACCUCUCUGUCGCCCCUUGUCCCCAGCUGCAAGGUAGCACGGAGAUGGCAGUGGGCAGCUGUGGCCGGGCUCCAGCCAGCCAGCCCCACCCCCACCCCCACCCCGGGCGGACAGGGCGUUUCUAGAAAAUCCAAUUCCACGCCGGGCAUCGGGACCGGGGCAGAACGCCGGGCACCCGAGGGGCUGCAGCGACAGGCGCCACAGCCACACUCUCGCAGCAGCUUCAUUAUCCAGUUCCUAACAUGAAAAGAACAUGAAAAAAACAAAAGAAGAACAGUUCUCCAGUUGGAAGCCCUGAACUCCUGAUUAGCCAUGAACUGAGCAGUUUGCUUUGCUUCAUGCUCCUGCCAUGAUGUGCUGCUUUGCCAGAGGUCCAAAGACUACAGGACCAAUCAAUAAUGGACUUCUAGAGCCUCUUCAACUCUUUGGAGAGAGGAGGCUAACCCAGCUGAAAAUCUGUAAAUGGUAUUGUGCAUAACCUGAACAGACCAGUAGUAGACCUUCAUCCUGUCAGCAUCUACCAUCAACCUCAUUCAAAUGAGAUAAGUAAAAACCUUUCAAUAUUGAUUCUGGGAUUCUUCAGAGUGUGAUCCACCUGUGGAGGCCCUCUGGACUUCCCACUGCUGCCUCCAUCCAGUAUCAUGGAAUCUUAGUCUAGGUAAUUGUAAACUUUAAAAAUGUCACUGCAACGGUUUGCAAGGCCCCCUGCAGUGAGAUAGCUGCUGAUGAGUCCAUCAGAAACACACUAUCAUCUUGGGGCCGAGGAAGAUUUCACUGGGUUAUAGAAGAGGACGCAUGUUUGGAGAUGGUGUUACCCUCCUAUGGGGAACCCUAGAGGAUGUCGUAUACCACACAAAACCCACUACACUACUGGUCCUUAGAGAAGAAAUUGAAGAUGCAUGUGCAGUAAUCUCAAGGACGAAGGUUACCCAAGCAGCAUUUGCCAUACUAAUAAAUGUCUGGAAGCCAAUGGCCACCACUUUGAGCACCUCUUGUAAUUGUAGAGGCCAAAGGUAAAUUGUA